GUGCUUUGCCCAUUUUUCUAUUUGUUUUUCUUUUCCUUAUUGACUUCUAAGAACUCAUCUGUCAUAUAUCUUGAAAAUAUUUCUUCUGGUUUAUUAUUUGCCUUUAGACUUCAGGAUUUAAAAUUUUUACUUAGCCAAUUUUUAAAAAUCUUUCCCUUUGUGAUUCCCAUAUUUUGUGUCAUACAGUCCCCAAUCCAAGAAUAUAUACAUUUAAAAUCUCUUAUUAAUGUUUUCUUCUAGUAAUUUUAUGAUUUCCUUUUCACUUUUAAACAUUUCAUCCAUCCGGGACUUAUUUCAGAAUAAGGAAUAGAGAACUGAUUUUAUUUUAUUUUUCCUAAACAGCUAGCCAGUUUUCCAAUUUGAUUGAAUAAUUCAUCUUUUCUCCUCUGAUCUAAAAUGUCAAUUUAUCAUAUAUUCAAUUUCCAUUUGUUCACGGUGUCUGUCUGGACACUCUUCUGUUCCUUUGAUCUGUCUGUCUGUUCCUGUGCCAGGACUCAACUGUUUUAUUACUGGAGCUUUAUACAACAUUUUAGUAGCUCUAGUUGCCCCCUAUAAUCCCUCUUUUUCAGAAUUUUCCAAGCUCUUUUUGCAUGUUUAUUUUUCCAGAUGAAUUUUAAUAUAAUCAAAUUCAAAAGAUCUUGUUGUUUUUCACAUCUUCUAACAUGCAAUUUUCUGACUUCUCAGCCCACAGCAGAACAGAAACAAGUCAACAAGAACAAGGUGGGGUGGUCAGCCUGAGGCAGGCAAGGUGAUGGUAGUGGAAAUGACAACUAAUAGGAGGGAGUUGAUGAAGAACUAUAACAAGUAGACACAUCAACUAUUAAAAUGUAGCCAUCAUAGAAUGGGCCUUUAGUGUGGGGCUGAACAAGACCCUGGAUUUUCACUGUAUUACAGCCAGGAUAGUGAUGGACACUUGUAACCACAGCUCUGAGUCAUAAAGACUCACAUGUUCUGCAACCUCUGAUUAAGAAGGCAGGAAAGUGUGUAAUAGCCACUAGUGAUUUCCAUCCAAAAUAUCUCUUUUUAAGGUCUCAGAUAUUAAUGUCUGGAAAACUAGUGUGAAAUGGUUCAUUCUUGAAUGAUGACAGAAGUAUGACAUAUUACUGGUUUCUCUACAGUUUUCUCAAAACCCACCUCCAAAUUCCAAGAAGCUGCCAACUCUGGGAUUUGAAUUCACUCUAUCUGUGGAAACACAGCUGAGGGAAACAUCCUCAGCCUUUCAGCCAGUCCACACACAAUAAUAAAAAAAAAAAAACGGUUUAGCUCUUACUAAGCAUCUGUCUCCAAUACACGAGGCAUGUUAUACGCAGACUACAUUUUAAUCCUCAAUGGCCCCACUAGGUGAAUACUACACUCCCAUUAGACAGGAAACUGAGGCUCAGAGAGAUCAGACUUGGGCAAGUUCAAGUUAACAUGUGACAAAGAACCCUCAGCCACCUUCACUCCCACAUGCCACUAACCAGACCUGUUCAACUCACUGCCAACCACCACAUGAUGUCCUAAAGGCCACCAAUCCUAUUCAGACAUCCCUUUGUAGGGCCUUGCCCAGAGCCUGAAUAGCCAGGAGAGGCCUCAUCCCUGCCUCUGAGUGUCAGCAACGGUGGAAGGAGGUGCCAACCUGGGCCAUCUAGGGAAGGAAGGGACAGACCCCAGGCCACCCACUGACCAGCCCCUGAGAUCCAGGGCUCAGGCAGUGGGGAGGGUGCCUCUGGGACUCAGGAAAUAACUCCAAGGGAAGGCAAGCAUCUCACCGUGCGCACUCCGACAGGAGGGCAGGAGGGCGGAAAGGUGGAAUAGCCCAGAAGAGCAGGCUGCUGCCCAGGCCCCUAGGCCACAUCCGAAGGACGUAUGUCAGGACCCUCCUAGAUUGGCAUGAAUUCACCCACAUUACGGGGCUGGGUCCUACACACCUGUUUGUAAAGAGCUCCCCAGGAAUGUAGUGCUGAGGGGCCACCAAGGGGUGGAUGGUAUAUCCCUGGAGGAUCUCAAAUAGACAAGUUCCCUGUCCUGCCAGGAAUCCAGAUGUUGCCCAGAUGUCCACAGCAGCCCCUCCUAGAGGGUGGGACACCAGCUAUUCUGUGCAGCCCCUCCCAACCCAUCUCCCAGGGUCAAGGGAGGAAAGCUGGCGACCUCCACUGCCCCUUCCCCAUUCCGGCUGUUGGGAGGGGGCAGCUCCCUCAUCCUGGGUUCACUUCUAAGGCAGUCACCUGAGUUCAGCCUGUGAUCUAACCUCUAGUCCUCUGCUGACAGGUUAAGUCUAGAGCCCCAGGAAGGAGGGCGUCCUGGGUCAGUUUCAUUUCACAUAAACGGACUGUCCCUGGAUCCAGGGAAGCGGAUUCUCCCGUUUCCUCCCCGGUGCCUCAGUCUUUUUGGAGGCGCCCUCUGCUGGCCACUGGGAAGUGCAGGAAAGAACAGAGUCCUGCAGACUCAAAGAGCGUCUACAGAAAGGGACAAGAGGUAGAGGCAACCGGGAGCCAACUGAGAGCGGUGGCUGGACUGCCACAAAUAAGAGAGGCAUGCUGAAGCCUUCUUGGAGGCCCCGUUCCAGACCCAGCCAGGGUGAAGAGGACUCCCAGGGGCGGAGAUCGAGGCCCAGGAGAGAACAGAGAGUAUCCUGCUUUAAUUGGAGAGCAUGAAGAGGUGGGCAAGGAUGUUCUGGAACACUGACCAUAGUCCAUCCUGAAUGGAAUUGGACUGACUCGACCCUCUCAUCUCCUGGAGCAGCUGGGUCUAAAGUGUGUGUGCACGGGUACAGACGUACAGGAGGAAAAUAUUAGGACGUCGCAGGUGCCCCAUAAAGAACCUGUUGAACUGUGAUUUGCCGUGAGCAUGGGAAGGAGAAUUCUGAAGGCAGACCGAUGAACCUUUGCAGAACACCUUCCUGCAGAAAUUAACAGCCACCUCAGCAGCCUGGGGUCCUCUCCAGGCUCACCCACUCCCUGGAGGGGCAUCCCAUCCCCACCUUUUUUCCACCCAGCUCCUGUUUCUUUUUCUGCGCUGCGUUCACUUCAAGUAUGAGCCAAGGGUGACACCUGGUGGCCAUUUCUGUAGCUGCAGAACCCAGAGCGGAGACACCCAACAACAGGAGGGGCGUGAGGUGAGGUCCCGUGGGUGAAGGAGCCAUUCUUUCCAGCACUUUCCCUGCACCUCCUAACUCCCUCUCAGGGCCCAGGGAACAUCCAGGAUGCCCACUCCUCAUUCUGCCUUAGAGCAGCCCCUCCUCACUCCCCCUGAGAACAGCCUGAGCUCUGAAGGUUGCACCUGCCUGAUGAGCAGGGUGACCAAGGAGGCCUCUGCUCAGACCCUGCCCUGGCCCCAGGCAGAAGGCAAAAGGACAAUGGCUACCCUUCCCCAAGUGCUGCGGGCCAAUAGGCAUCAUCUCAUUCAAAUCUUAUCACCAGGGCCUAUUAUGACAACAGAGAAACCAGGUACAGCAAGGUUAAGCAACCUGCUCCGGGUCACAUGGUUCCUAAGUGCCCAAAUGAUGAAAUGAGUGGAACACCUGGCAAGCCUCUGGGGGACAGAGGAGGCCAAAAGGAAGUGGCCUGCCAUUGGGUUAGAAGUGCCAAAUUCCAAUCCAGCCUUGCCCAACAAGUAGAGUGACCUCCUUCAAGGGCCUUCUGCUGGCUGAGCGCCAGUCUCCUUGAUGGUACCAUGCGGUGUUCGAUAGAGCCGUGAUUCUCAACUGACUGUAUGCAAGAAUCACCUGGGGAGAAUGUUUUAAAUACCGACGCUUGCCCCGGCACUGGCUGAUGAAAUCAAUAUCAGUAGGAGUGGGACCGAGGUAUAGGUAUUUUCAAAAUCUUUUUAAAUGACUCAACAUGAAGCCAGGGUUGAGAAGGAGGCCUCUGGGAGAUUCCAUCUUCAGAUCUCCCUGCACUCCAGAGGUCAGCCCCUGAGGCCUCCCUGCUGCCCGGAGGGCUCACCAGAGAAACAGCCCUCUCUCCCCCAGCAUUCCCUGGACAUCUUAACUGGUCCGCCCAGACCCCCAGGACAAGCUGCCUCCCCACCCCCUGGGCCUUCAGGGAGAAUACUGGCUAUCAGUCCUUCCCAGAGGGGGCUCAGCAGGUGUGACCCCACGCCUGGCCUCUGGGGUGGGGGCAUGGAAGGCCACUGGGAGCUUAACCCCAACAGGAUGAAGGCGCCAUAAUUAGGGUCAGGCGGUUGGCUCAGCCUGCGGAAAUCCCCAGCUUAGUAGGGAUGGGGGUGCUUCAGCCUGGGAAGGGGGGUCAGGGCAGAAGUGAGGGGGCAGAGGAGCUCAGGCAUGUGGAAACCCCAGGGCCUAGCCCCUAGCCACCUCCUGAAAGGGCCCUCUAGAAGCUCAACACCGUUACCCCCCCACCCUGGACUCACUGACCGCCCAGGGAGGGAGGGACGGGACGGACCAGCCCCCCAACCCCAGCAGCCCUGCUGCUCCCGUCAGGCUGGGGUGUGCCAGGAUCAUCCCCCUACUCUGGCGUUUGGUGGGAGGACGAGGGCACCGGUGGGAAAGCACUAAGUGAGCGUUCCCAGGGCAACGCAGGCUUCUCUCCAGCCUGUAAUCCUCAGGCCUUGAGUGAGGGAUCACUUUCCUCUGUGGAAUGUAACACGGAGGGGACAAAAGGGGGCAGAGGGAUGGGGGAGGGGGAGGGAAGAUGCCAGGGAAUGAACUUUGCUGGGGGUACUUUCCAACCCCCAAAAGGCCCUUCAGGAGGUGGCAGCUGCAAAGAGAGAAGUCACCCCCAUCUCCAGCUCACCCCAGGGCACAAGGUCUCCGGCUGGGCUGGCCAGGUAGCUCACAGCAGACCCUGCGUCCUAACACUGGGUGCCUGGGUGAUCACCUUUGCUAACCACUCAUUUGCAGAGGAGGAAAUGGGUUCUGAGAGUUUAGAACCGGCCAAGGUCAUGCAGCUCAGAGCCCCACCUAGAAGCCCCAGCUUUCCAAGAGACUGGCCGAGUGAGCCAGCGAGCACUGAAACCUGUAGGCUCAGGAGUUCCCAUGCUCACCUGGGCUGGAGUCCCUCUGCUCCCACAGCAGGACACCCCUCCUUCCUGCCCUCCUGGGUCAUGGGCUGGGCAUGGCGGGACAAGCAGAGGGCAAGUGCCUGCUCGUCACCACAAGCCUGUGAUGGCUGGGACCAGGGGCCAGCCCAGUGACUCCCACAUUGAGAUUCAACACUGAUUCCUCCAGGAAGCCUUCCAGGCUGAUCCACAAAGGGCUAGCUGUGCCCCCCACAUCCAGCCUUGACUUCCCAAAAGGUAUCCUCCCCUCCCCUACCUCACCUCUGGCCCAUCACAUAGGUUCUACAUGGGUCUCAGUUCUGCAAACUGUGGGCUCUCCCCAUACUUUGACCCAGGAACCCCUGAGGGCAGGACCAUGGGGGCAAAGACAGUGCUGUGCCCAGCCCAGCACCAGCCGCAGGGAGACUUGAGAGACAGAGGGUCUUAGAAAGGGGGCAGAACUCAUCUCACGUCACAGAACCUGGAAAGGACCCACAGUGGGAAGUCACUUCAGAAGUCAUCUGGUCCAGCCCCGCCAUGGCCUUCCAGUUGGGGGUCAGCCUCCUGUGUUAAUGCCUAUAGAGAUGGACAUCUCUUCAAGUAUUCAUUCGCUCAUUCAUUCAUCCAACGAACCUCACCCAGCCACCUCCUACCUCUCAGGGGCUGAGGCAACCCAGUCCAUUUUCAAGAGCAUAGGCUAAAUCCUUAACAAAUAGAAUCAGAGGCCUACGGACCACCCUUCCUGGGCCUAGUGCUAAGUGGAAGUAGAACUUGCUGCUUGGCAACACCCCUGCACACAUUUGUGUUGCCCUGUGGCAUUAAUGCAGCGUUUGCAGCCCCACGUUUCCCUUCAGACUCAUGACAACCGUCCCAGGUGGUGUUGACCCUCCUUGACGGGGAAGCUGCGGCUCAGAGAGGAGGAAUGACUGCAGCUGGAAGAGAGGUGGAGCCAGGACUCAGCCUGCAUGGCUGCACCGUCAGCCCGGCACUCACUUUACACCCACCCUGGCCCUCCACAGGCUGGGCUUUCAGGUGGAAGACAAGCCUUGCCCAGGGGGAAAGAAAAUGUGAGUUAGGCUCCUAACUAUCAAAAUAAUAACGGUGAAGACAAGUCAGAGGCCUGCUGGGUUCCAGACACUGUGCAGGCGAGUCAGGUGUUGAACCCAGAACUCCUACCCCCACUCCUCUGGGGCCAGUGCAAUGCCCUGGGCUACACAGCCGGCACAUGCACGUGUGCACACACACACCCCCAGGUGGUAUGAGUCCCUGCAUGUCCCAGGGGACAGGGUGUCCCAGCCGCUUCGCUCCCCUCUGAUAACCCAGCCGCUUCCAGCAGGACAGGCACAUACCCUUCAGGCUGACCACAUUGGGCACAUGCCAGGCCAGCUGCCAGGGCCCUGGUCUCCACCCCACUGGACCCUAGAGGAUGACCUCCUCCAUGGCUGACGCUGCUCAACCUCAGGAAGGGGGGUGACUCCCCAGGAUGUGAGGCCUAGAGCCCCCCCAAGCCCCUCCUCAGAGCCAGCAUGUGCUGCGGGGCUGAAGCCUAAUGAGGAGUCUCAGGGAUCCCCCUGGCUUUGUCUGGGCACCAGCCCCUUGGCACACUCCAGGGAGAUGCAGAGGAACAAGGAGAGGCACAAGAGGGGCCAACAGGACUCCAGCAGGAAAGGGGUGGUGGGGUGGGUGGUAGAGGGGGAAGCAGGAGUGAAUCAGAAAGGUGGAGGCAUCUGUGUGAGGUCAAGGUUUGGAACCAAGGAGAAGUAUGGAAAAGGCUUGGCCAAGGACUGCUAACAGGGCAGCUGGAACUUAGGAAAGGGAAGACCUCUGGGGGCGUGGGAGGAGGUCAUCAAGAAAUGGACCCUGGAGCAGGCAGAGCUUAUAAGCUGGGUGCCCUUGGGCAGGUGGCUUGCUCUCUUUGAGCCCCUCAGUAUCAUCUGCAAAGUGGGAAUAAAAAUCGUACUCCCCUCACAGACUUGUGGGAAGUAAAUGAGGUCUUGGGUGUAAAACACCGCAGAGCACCUGGCACCCAGGACUGCUCAAUUCACAGGGGCUGUACUGAGGAGGCCCACAGGGCCGGGAGAGCAAACCCUGAACAAUAAGCCACACCUGCCCUGGGGCUGUUAGGAAGGGGUUUACAGAGCAGAGAGGCAGGGGGCCUGGGGCCAUGGACCCCCGGUAACCUCUGCCCUCAAUGCCCUUGUCCCUUGAACGGUAUGAGGGACAAAUAAGAAGGUAAGACAGCCACUGCUGCCAUGGUGGCAGCGUUCUGGAGGAUUCUGGAGGGUCCUGGGAGAACUGCUCUUCGCCCCAUGCCCUCUUCAUUCACAUGAGGGGGUGGAGGUCCAGGGCGGGAUAGGGACUCACCCAGGGUCACUCUGAGAAUGAGGACAGAAGGCAGGUCUGCUAACCCCCAAGCCAGCCUCCUCUUCUUUGUAAGGCACGCUGUCUCCUGUCCAGAAGGGGAAGCCAGGGGCGAAGAUCCCUCAACCCCGUGAAAGGGAGAGAACUAGAAACCACGUUCCCUGGAAAUGGAGAUGAGAAGCUCCACUCCUCUUCCCACUCAGAGCUUUAACUAAGACCCUGCUGAGGCCUGGUGAACACUUACACUUCCUCCAAAGACCAAACCAAAGACACCCGCUCUGGGAAGCCCUCCCAGUGAUGGCAGCGGUUCCAAGCUGUGUCCUGCAGUGGCCUCUCUUUGAGGCUUUGGCCUAGCCACCACCCUGGUCAGUGCACACGUUGUUUCCCCCCAAUGAGCUGGAGUUUUUGAGCCCAGGGGCAUGGUCUUAAGCAAGUUGGAGGCCCCGACACCACGAUCCAGCCUAGCACAGGUGUAUUUAGAAUGAAGGAAUCCUGACCAGUUGGCCCCAGACCCACCAGGGGCAAGGGUGACCGACGGGUAGGGACGGGGCUCUGGGGCAGCUGCCAUCCUGUGCUGGCCAGUCCCUCCCUCCCCCAUACCUGAGCCCUGUGCUAAGAGCAAGUUCCUGGUGCAGGCUGUACCCUGUCCUGGAUGCCUGGCAUUUACCAAAAGGGCAGAGACAGUGAGAAGGGCCUCCCCUGUGCCAUCCUCUCAGAAAGGAGACAGGGCAGCAGGCAGGAGGGAAGGGAGUUAGGUUUCAAAGUGCCCGAAGAUGACAGAAUGACAGAGGAUGCUCACCAUGUCCAAACCGACAAAGGAUUAAUAUCUAGACUAGAUGACACAAGGAAUGUCUGCCGAGCAACAGGAAGACAGCAACCCUACCCCAAAAGGGACAAGACAUACAAACAGGCAGUUCAAGGAGACAGACCCUAAAGCUAACAAGCACGAGAAGAGGUGCUGAAAAUCACCACUUUACCUCUGGUAGAUGGGCAAAAAUGAGAAAGCUGGAUAAAGCCCAGCGCUGGUGGGGAUGUGGGGACACAGGAGCCCUAUGCCCGGUGAUGUAGGCUAGGCAGCCACUGUGGACUCGGGUUGGCCACGCUUAGUCAAAUGAAACACAGUGAGCGCUGUGACCCAGCGGCUCCACUCACGAAUACAGCCUCGGAAUCAGCCUGGUCCCUACAAGCCAGGAAGGGGGAGUCAUGCCGCUUGUUCAUGGUGGGGAACAGAAAAUUGUGGAGCGGCAUCACAGGGUACAAUGCAGCAGUUUGAAGUAACAAGGCUAGAUUUUUUAAACAGUGCUGAGUGAAGGAGACCUAUAACACAAUGACAUUUACCAAAGUUGAAAAAAAAAAAAACAUGUUUACAAAACAGCAGCCCUCAUUUGCAGAAAUAUUUGCAUCAAAUACUAUGAGGGGAGAAGGGAAGCAUGUGGAAAGAGGGUGAAAAGGAAUAAACACACAAACGAAACAAGAAAGGCCAGUGAUACCCAUGCACCUGCCGUGAACUGAGACUAACUCUGCACCUGCGGGCUGUGAAGGCAGACCAUGCCCCAGGCCCUCAGCACAGGCUCUCGGCUGGAGCCAGGAGCCCACGUGCAUGAGGGGCAGAAAUGGGCUGACCUCAGAGGUCACCUCUCCCACCACCCCCCACCACCAGCAAGGGAGGGUCUUGGCCAAAGUCAAUCCACGGCAGACUUGAAGCCCCACCCAGCUUGCGUGGCUUUUGUGCCCUGGAAAUGGAAGUAGAAGGAACCUCAAACCUGGAGCAAUGGGGCUUGCCUGAGCUGGUUGCAAGGAGGAAAUGAGAAGCAUUUGCCUUCACAAAAGUCUCUGUAAUUAAGGGUUUUUCUUUCUUUUCUUUAAGGAGAGUCCUUAUCUUUAGACACAUUCAGAAAUGUCUGUGAAAUGAUAUGCUGUCUGCAGUGUGCUUCAAAAUAAUCUAGGGGGGCCGGCCCAGUGGCCGAGUGGUUAGGUUCGCGCGCUCUGCUUCAGCGGCCCAGGGUUUCACUGGUUCAGAUCCUGGGCGCAGACAUGGCAUCCCUUGUCAAGCCAUGCUGAGGCAGCAUCCCACAUGCCACAACCAGAAGGACUCACAACUGGAAUAUACAACUAUGUACUGGGGAGAGUACUUUCGGAAGAAGAAGAAGGAAAAAGUUAUCAUAGUCAUCAUCAUCAUCUAGGGUGGGGCGGGAGAGUGUGGGUGGCGGGAUUGAUGAAAUCAGAUUGGCCAUGAAUUGACACUGCUGAGUCUGGGAAUGGGUGCAUGGAAGUUCAUUAUGCUUUACACUCUACUUGCAUGUCUGUUGGAAAGUUUCUAUACUAGAAACUUAAAAAAGGAAAGUUUCCAAUAAGAAAGUCUCCCAUGUGAGGAGACUGGUUUCUGACUUCAAGGAGCCCCAAUGUGAUAGGGGAGACACAGCCUUCUGCCCUCUGUGUGGCCAAGGCUCCCUGCAUCUUCUCAGCUCACCCUGCCGGCCAUGGGCCACACGUGAGAAAGAGGCACGAUCUCAGCACCAAAGCCUGGCCUCCCAGACCUGGCCUUUGUCACUGAGGCCCAAGGGUCAGGCACUGGAACCACAUCUAAGCAGAUCUGGUUCCAGUUCUGGCUCCACCUGCCCAUGGCCCUAAGCUCCUCACCUUAACAGCACCUGCCUGGAACGGAGGAAACACCCAGUGAGGCCAGCUAUUAUCAGGGGGGAGAAGUCUCCACUGGCCCAGCCCCUCCCCAACCAAGUCUCUCUGUUCUUGUUGUGGUUGCUCACCUCUGGCUGCCUCUGCCUCCACGUCCAUGUAAUGAGGACCAGAAUCACCAGGUGAGUUUGAGCAUUACAUGAGGCGAUGUUUCAUGAAUGGUCUUACUGUCACCAGGACCAGGGGAGGGAGCUGGUCAGAAUCACACAGCCAGGUAGUGACAGAGCUGGCUUAGUCACAGAUGCAUGACACUGAGCCAGCUGCCAACACCCCGUCACCAUGAGGCCCGUAGGCUGGUAGACAGAGUGUCCUCGUUCAGAAUCUGGGGUGGUGCCCUUGGGACCAUUCCAUCCAGCCCCUAGUCCCACUCCCAGAGCCUCUCACUCAGGGGAGCACCAGGGACGCUGUAUGGGUGAGAUGCAAGCCAGGAAGGGGAGGGCUUGGGAAAGAGGAAGACAGAAGACUUUAUCCUGCCCUCUACGAACACAGAAGGGUCCAGGGACAUCCGUCUGGAAGAGUGUGUCCAGACUCAGGGGCUCUAUCAGGGGCUGCAGGGUGACUCCUAGGUGAGGGGUGGCAGCCUGGCCUGGACUCUCCUUUCGUGACAAUAGUAAUAGUAAUAGUGGAUGCUUGUAUAGUUCCUACUAUGCACCAGGCAGUGUUCUAUCUGCCUUAUGUAUAUUAUCUCAACUAAUUCUCACAGCCAUCCUAAGAGGCCAAUGCUAUUAUUGUCCCUGUUUUACAGAUGGGGAAACUGAGGCAUAGAGAGGCUCAGUAACUUUCCCAAAGUCUCUCAGCUUGUAACCAGCAGAGCUAGGAUUUGAUCCGGGGCAGUCUGCCUUGAGUCUGUGCUCUUGACCACCCCAAUGCACUCUCAGAGAGGGACAGACUGGCCUCUCCUAAGACAGUACUUCUGAUUCCUGAGGGAUCUGGUGGUUGUUGAUGUGUGCGUGUGCAUGUGCAUGUGUGUGUGUGUGUUGGGGGGCUCAACCACAAAGGGGUACGGGCCAAUGGCCACGCCUCCUUCCCCCAUGGGAGCCUGAGGCACCUGUCCCCCAUCUGCCUCCUGGGAGCUCAGAGGGUGGGGAGACCAGGCAGAGCAGCAGCUGGUACCCUCUUUACCCCGUGGACGGGCCCUUCCCCCGGGGCAGCCAGCGCUGGCACUGGGGCAGGACUUCUAUGUGUCUCCUGCUCUGGAAAGCAGAGUAGAAAGUAAGUGAAUGACAGGAUCAGAGGCAGGCUUGAAUUUACUCUUUUUCUUCUUAAUUUAAAUCUUUCACAGAAAGUUGACCAAAAUCAGUAACUAAUUACUUGUGAAACUCCCUCACAGCCACUCACAGCGCAGCCCUGGGGAAUGUCUGUCCUUUCUGGGAUGGGAGCAGCUGAGGCAUUCCCUGCUCCCUCCCCCUGAAGCUCGUCCCUCUGCAAAGAAAUGGCACCUAAUACAGAGGUCAGGAGCUGGGUCUUUGGAGGCAGACAAAGCUGAGCUCAGGGUGAGUACUGCCUCUUCCAAGCUGUGCCACCCCCACCACAUAUUAGUUAAUCUCUCUGGGCCUCAGUCUUCUCAUCUGUGAAGUGGGAGUGGUGAUACUGUCCCUCACAGAGCUGUUAAAAGGUUUAAAUGAAGUCACGUAUAUUGAGUGUUCAGCCUGGUGCCUUACUCGCAGUACGUGCGCCACAUUGGCUAUGAGCUUUACUGCUGCUGUCAGGACCAGCCCCAACCAAGCUGUGAGCUCCUUUGGGGAAGGAAUUGCAUCUUGUUUCUCUUUGUCUAUCUCAGCAUUUUCUUUUUUGUUUGUUUGUUUUCUGCUUUAUCUCCCCAAACACCCCCUGUACACAGUUGUAUAUCUUAGUCGCAUGUCCUUCUAGUUGUGGGAUGUAGGAUGCCACCUCAACGUGGCCUGACGAGUGGUGCCAUGUCCGCGCCCAGGAUCCGAACCCUGGGCCGCCGCAGCGGAGCGCGCGAACUUAACCACUGGGCCAGCGGGAGACAGCCCCUAUCUCAGCAUUUUCCACAGGACUCGGCCCCCAGCAGGUGCUCUGUGUCUUUGGUUGAGUUCCUUAGAAACAGAUCCUGAGAUGGGGCCCUCCUGGCUAAGUGCUCCCAGGGGACAGGAGAGGGCCUGGGGGAAGCAAAUGGAAGAGGAAGAGGCCAACAAGGGUGCCGAGGAUGGUUUCUGCCUGUCCCACAGGACUCUGGAGUGUAAGAUACACCUCAGGGUUGUCCCCAUGCCAGACAGGGGAACUGGGCCUUCUCUCACCUGCACCCCAGUCACUGGCUAAGGGCCACCUUGGGGGAUAAACUUCCAGGCACUUCCGCCAUGCUCUGGUAGCUGAGUGCAGUCUGCAGAGAGAGAGCGCACAGCAGGGAACACACACGGAGGGCAGGGAGGGUGCACAGAAACGGAAAGGGGUCUCAGGGGAUCUGCCAUGCUCCAUAAAUAUCUUCUGGGUUGAACAGAAUCAGCCCCGGACCAGCCUCUGAAGGGUUCUGGUUCCCUGUGGAGUCGCGGGUGGUGGAGGCAGGGGGGCGGGGGCUGCCAGGCAGAGGGGAGCAGCUCUAACUACCCUGCAGAGUCCCAGCUGGUCAGAGCCAGGAGGGUCCCCCCAGUGGCCAGCCUCUCCCCUGGCUGAGCAAGGGCAGGCCUGGGGCUGCCUGAGAUGGCCUUGAGAGCCCUGACUAUGUGCCGGGCACGGAUGCCAAGUUCUUUGCAUGACUCACCCAUGUCUUCCUCACAACCACUCGAGGUAGUGUCCUGAUUCAGACAUGAGGAAACUGAGGCAUGGAGAGGCUGAGGGACCUGCUGGAGGCGCCCCAAAGAGUCAAGGGCAAAGAAAUCAAUGCCAUUAGUCAUUAGGAAAAUGCAAAAUAAAAAACCCACAAGAUACCACUUCACACCAGUAGGAUGGCUAUAAAAAGGAAAAUAACAAGCUGGCAAGGAGGAGGAGAAAUUGGAACCCUCACACACGGCUACUGAGAAUGUAUAAUGAUGCAGCUGCCGUGGAAGACAGUCUGGCUGUUCCUCAAUAAGUUAAACAUAGAGUCACCAUAUGACCCAGCAAUUCCACUCCUUGUAUGUACCAAAAGAAUUGAAAACAGGUGUUCAGACAAACCUUGGACAAGAAUGUUCAUAGCAGCACUAUUCGCAAUAGCUGAAAGGUAGAAACAACUUAAAUAUCCAUUAACUGAUGAAUGGAUAAACAAAAUGUGGUCUAUCCAUACAAUGGAAUAUUAUUCAACCAUAAAAAGGAAUAGAUUUGGGGCUGGCCCAGUGGCACAGUGGGUAAGUUCACACAGUCCGCUUCGGUGACCCAGGGUUCACCAGUUUGGAUCCUGGGCACGGACCUACGCACCACUUGGCACGCAUGCUGUGGCAGGCAUCCCACAUAUGAAGUGGAGGAAGAUGGGCACGGAUGUUAGCUCAGGGCCAGUCUUCCUCAGCAAAAGAGGAGAAUUGGCAGCAGAUGUUAGCUCAGGGCUAAUCUUCCUCAAAAAAAAAAGAAUGGAAUACUGAUACACGGUACAACAUGGAUGAACCUGGAAAACAUCAUGCUGAGUAAAAGAAGCCAGACACCAAAGACCACAUAUUGUAUGAUUCCAUUUAUAUGAAACGUCCAAAAUAGGCAGAUUCAUAGAGACAGAAAGUCGAUCGGUGGUUGCCAGGGGUUGGGGGAAGAGGAACAGAGAGUGACCACUUAAGGAGUGCUGGAACAAGAUAGUGGCGAUGGUCGCAGUGAAAUGAACUGAACUGUACACUUAUAAAUAGUUAAAUGGUAAAUUUUACGUUAUAUGUAUUUUACCACAAUUUUUUAAUAAGUUUUUAAAAAAGUGACUUAAGGGCAGAGCCUGGAUCACACCAGUUCUUGAUCCUUCCCUCCACGGGGCCUGGGAGCGGCCGACACAGAGUCAGCCACAGUGUUUCGGGAUGGACAGAACAAAUAGAACACAACUCUACUGGACGCUGUGCUGACACAGAUAUGGGACUCAAGUUGUCUGUAAACAUUCCUGUGACUUGGCCUGCUGCAGAAAUAAAAGCACUAGCCUGGAGUUCUGACACACCCGGAUAUAAAUGCUGGCUCCACCACCGGCUAUGUGAACUUGGACCCACACUGUGCCUUUCUGGGCCUCACUGUUCUCAUCUGGAAAAUGGAGCUAAGAAGAAGAGGCCCUCCGGGUUGUUGGGAGAAGUCAGUGAGUUAACACAGGUGGAAAUGCCCUGAGCAUGGCACCUGACACACAGGGAGGGCUCAGCAAAGGCUGGUCUCUUUUCUCCCUCUCCUUUACCCACAUAGGCCCUUGACCUCUAUCCCUGCCAGACUCCACCUGGACAAACACCCUCCCAGAGGUUGGACGCACACAGCAACUCUUGUCCAGGUUCCUUGAUGGACCCUGCCCAUGGGACGUUUGCAAAUUCCAAAGAGAAAACUAGUUAAUCUGUAGAAAGC
rnacentral:lncRNA from 1 species